rnacentral:rRNA from 1 species
CUACGGAGGGUCCAAGCGUUAUCCGGAAUCAUUGGGUUUAAAGGGUCCGCAGGCGGUCAAUUAAGUCAGAGGUGAAAGCCCAUCGCUCAACGAUGGAACUGCCUUUGAUACUGGUUGACUUGAGUUAUACGGAAGUAGAUAGAAUAAGUAGUGUAGCUGUGAAAUGCAUAGAUAUUACUUAGAAUACCGAUUGCGAAGGCAGUCUACUACGUAUAUACUGACGCUGAGGGACGAAAGCGUGGGGAGCGAACAGGAUUAGAAACCCUUGUAGUCC